GAUCAUGGCCCAGGAUGAACGCUAGCGACAGGCUUAACACAUGCAAGUCGAGGGGCAGCAUAGAAGUAGCAAUACUUUGGUGGCGACCGGCGCACGGGUGAGUAACGCGUAUGCAACCUACCUAUCAGAGGGGAAUAACCCGGCGAAAGUCGGACUAAUACCGCAUAAAACAGGGGCACCGCAUGGUGAUAUUUGUUAAAGAAAUUCGCUGAUAGAUGGGCAUGCGUUCCAUUAGGUAGUUGGUGAGGUAACGGCUCACCAAGCCGACGAUGGAUAGGGGAACUGAGAGGUUGGUCCCCCACACUGGUACUGAGACACGGACCAGACUCCUACGGGAGGCAGCAGUGAGGAAUAUUGGUCAAUGGGCGGGAGCCUGAACCAGCCAAGUCGCCGUGAAGGAAGAAGGAUCUAUGGUUCGUAAACUUCUUUUGCAGGGGAAUAAAGUGCAGGACGUGUCCUGUUUUGUAUGUACCCUGAGAAUAAGGAUCGGCUAACUCCGUGCCAGCCGCGGC
rnacentral:rRNA from 1 species